GAACUAGAUCACCGUUCAGUCGCAGCAAGCAAGAAGGAGGAAGAUGAUGAAGAUGAAGAACGUCGUCGUAGUGUUGGUUUUGUGCGUCAUCUUCUCUGGUAUGGAGAACGCCGUCGUAGACUCUGCUGCAGUUGACUGCUAUGAUGCUUGCAGCACUGGCUGCGUCCAAAGCGACACGAGACUUAUGGCACGCUGUGACCGCAAGUGCCAGAUUAGGUGCGGUCCAGAUUCUCAAGUUGAGCAGAAUUUCAAUUAACAAAUGGUGAAGAAAAUUGACGACCGCAAGAAGAAAUAAUAUGUAACUUAUGGCAAUGGAGAUAAUCUAAGCCAGUAAUAAAUGAAAACAUUUGUGUUUUGGAAAGUAUGCGAGUUAUUGUUUGAAGAACCAAAUUACUUGAUCCUUUAUAUUUAAAGUUACUUUUACCAAAAAACUGUUUCUGGGUUAAUUUCAUUCAUCAACCUCGUAGUCUUAGGUUUGAUUACUAGUUGCAACUGAUAUGAUACAUGUCAUGUAAAUGAGAGAGAGAUAUGGGAGGAAUUUUUUACAUAAUAGUUGUUAAUAACUACUUUGUCCUUCCGCUUGAGGAUAUAUAGUUAUCUAACGAUUGUGCCUUUCGAAGUAGAUCGGAAUACAUAACCUUUCGAAGUAGAUCGUUAAUUAAAUGAGACAUUCCGGAUUAGGCAUGUGGCCUCGAAAGUUGUGCCAUGAAGCCAACAAUGAUAAAAGAAUUUUGUUUCAAGCUCACGAGAGACACGGGGCUGCUUCUCGCCAUCUCUAAGUAACUGCAGCCGUAAGAUGCACAGAUCUUGAGGCAAAAAUGCUUUGGACUCAACACUAAAAGCGCCAUCCUCUUCGCAGUCUUCGCAUAUGGGUACAACUCGAGUUGAGUAUCAAGAUUUUUGAGCAGGUUCUUCUUCAUUGCAGCCCUCUUAGCUUCCACUUAAGGCGGAUUAUGAGUGCUAAAACGCCGAGCAUCUCAUUGAAAAAGAAGUUGACUGCUUGUUUUAAGCACUUAAAGAAAUUUUGGGUCAAGCGUGAGGGCUUGUCUCCUUCGAAAUUUUACUCAUUUUGCCCUAUCCAUGGGGACUUUGUGUAAUGAACUUGUGCCCACACAUUUUGCUAAGUGUUAUCUACCCAAGCCAUUAAU